rnacentral:rRNA from 1 species
ACGGGAGGCAGCAGUGAGGAAUAUUGGUCAAUGGGCGGAAGCCUGAACCAGCCAUGCCGCGUGAAGGAAUAAGGUCCUAUGGGUCGUAAACUUCUUUUGUGGUGGAGCAAUAAGGUGCACGUGUGCAUCGAUGAGAGUACAUCACGAAUAAGCAUCGGCUAACUCCGUGCCAGCAGCCGCGGUAAUACGGAGGAUGCAAGCGUUAUCCGGAUUUAUUGGGUUUAAAGGGUGCGUAGGCUGUUCUUCAAGUCAGAGGUGAAAUACCGGGGCUCAACCCUGGAACUGCCUUUGAUACUGGAGGGCUGGAAUACUGUUGCCGUGGGAGGAAUGAGUAGUGUAGCGGUGAAAUGCAUAGAUAUUACUCAGAACACCGAUUGCGAAGGCAUCUCACGAAACAGCGAUUGACGCUGAGGCACGAAAGCGUGGGGAUCAAACAGGAUUAGAUACCCUGGUA